GACGAACGCUGGCGGCGUGCUUAACACAUGCAAGUCGAACGGAAAGGCCUCAGCUUGCUGGGGUACUCGAGUGGCGAACGGGUGAGUAACACGUGGGUGAUCUGCCUUGCACUCUGGGAUAAGCUUGGGAAACUGGGUCUAAUACCGGAUAUGAACUGCCUUUAGUGUGGUGGUUGGAAAGUUUUUUCGGUGCAAGAUGAGCUCGCGGCCUAUCAGCUUGUUGGUGGGGUAAUGGCCUACCAAGGCGUCGACGGGUAGCCGGCCUGAGAGGGUGUACGGCCACAUUGGGACUGAGAUACGGCCCAGACUCCUACGGGAGGCAGCAGUGGGGAAUAUUGCACAAGGGGCGGAAGCCUGAUGCAGCGACGCCGCGUGGGGGAUGACGGCCUUCGGGUUGGAAACUCCUUUCGACAGGGACGAAGCUUUUUGUGACGGUACCUGUAUAAGAAGCACCGGCUAACUACGUG
rnacentral:rRNA from 1 species